ACACAUGUAUGUAGAACGCUGAGAGAGGAGCUUGCUCUUCUUGGAUGAGUUGCGAACGGGUGAGUAACGCGUAGGUAACCUGCCUUGUAGCGGGGGAUAACUAUUGGAAACGAUAGCUAAUACCGCAUAACAAUGGAUGACACAUGUCAUUUAUUUGAAAGGGGCAAUUGCUCCACUACAAGAUGGACCUGCGUUGUAUUAGCUAGUAGGUGAGGUAAUGGCUCACCUAGGCGACGAUACAUAGCCGACCUGAGAGGGUGAUCGGCCACACUGGGACUGAGACACGGCCCAGACUCCUACGGGAGGCAGCAGUAGGGAAUCUUCGGCAAUGGGGGCAACCCUGACCGAGCAACGCCGCGUGAGUGAAGAAGGUUUUCGGAUCGUAAAGCUCUGUUGUAAGUCAAGAACGGGUGUGAGAGUGGAAAGUUCACACUGUGACGGUAGCUUACCAGAAAGGGACGGCUAACUACGUGCCAGCAGCCGCGGUAAUACGUAGGUCCCGAGCGUUGUCCGGAUUUAUUGGGCGUAAAGCGAGCGCAGGCGGUUUGAUAAGUCUGAAGUUAAAGGCUGUGGCUCAACCAUAGUUCGCUUUGGAAACUGUCAAACUUGAGUGCAGAAGGGGAGAGUGGAAUUCCAUGUGUAGCGGUGAAAUGCGUAGAUAUAUGGAGGAACACCGGUGGCGAAAGCGGCUCUCUGGUCUGUAACUGACGCUGAGGCUCGAAAGCGUGGGGAGCGAACAGGAUUAGAUACCCUGGUAGUCCACGCCGUAAACGAUGAGUGCUAGGUGUUGGAUCCUUUCCGGGAUUCAGUGCCGCAGCUAACGCAUUAAGCACUCCGCCUGGGGAGUACGACCGCAAGGUUGAAACUCAGAGGAAUUGACGGGGGCCCGCACGAGCGGUGGAGCAUGUGGUUUAAUUCGAAGCAACGCGAAGAACCUUACCAGGUCUUGACAUCCCGAUGCUAUUUCUAGAGAUAGAAAGUUACUUCGGUACAUCGGUGACAGGUGGUGCAUGGUUGUCGUCAGCUCGUGUCGUGAGAUGUUGGGUUAAGUCCCGCAACGAGCGCAACCCCUAUUGUUAGUUGCCAUCAUUCAGUUGGGCACUCUAGCGAGACUGCCGGUAAUAAACCGGAGGAAGGUGGGGAUGACGUCAAAUCAUCAUGCCCCUUAUGACCUGGGCUACACACGUGCUACAAUGGUUGGUACAACGAGUUGCGAGUCGGUGACGGCGAGCUAAUCUCUUAAAGCCAAUCUCAGUUCGGAUUGUAGGCUGCAACUCGCCUACAUGAAGUCGGAAUCGCUAGUAAUCGCGGAUCAGCACGCCGCGGUGAAUACGUUCCCGGGCCUUGUACACACCGCCCGUCACACCACGAGAGUUUGUAACACCCGAAGUCGGUGAGGUAACCUUUUGGAGCCAGCCGCCUAAGGUGGGACAGAUGAUUGGGG
rnacentral:rRNA from 1 species